GGAGGGAGGGAGAGGAGAUUUAGAUCAAGAAUGAUUCGACACCCACCAUCCUUCUUUUGUCUAGGGAAUAUAUUAGAGACAAAUUGGUGAGAUUGAUGAAACGACUUCUCAAUUACCCCUUUUUUAGAUAACGUUUCAAUUUCAGCUUGUACAUCUAAAGACUCUUAUUGUGAAAAAC